AUGUAGAAAUUAAAAAAAAUAAAAAAUGCAAUUUUUUAGAAUAAAUUUUUUCGUUAAAUAAAAUUAAAAGAUUGUGAAGUGACUGGUAACUUUAAUUUCAUAUAAUUGACAGGUUUUACUAAAUCGCUGUUUUAUGAAAAAUGUUAACCAGCGGUACUUGAUAUUUGUAAAAGUAAUUUAGAGUUAUAAAUGUAAUAGUAGUGUAGCAAUUACAUGUAUGUAAUAAAAAGUUGGAUUAGCCUACUUAAAAAUUUGAACAUAUAAAAAGAUGAUGAUAUGGACAAAUGAUUGAAUAGUAGAGCGAAAAUCAAUCAGAAUAAAAAAGAUGAAGAAAAGAAGAAAACAGUCCCGCAGCUCUUAACUGCUGGCAAAAUAUUUAUAUUUUAGAAUUUGGCGAAACAACGAUAGAGCUGAUCACAUGCUGUAAAAAUCAGAAUAAAAGCAAGAGAUAUCAACUCAUUGAAAUAUUUUUUACCAGAGCCUGUAAAAAAUUCUAAGAGUGGUUGUUUCAAUUCCUGUCGAUAUUUAUUUAUUUAUGAUAGUGAAUCCUCAAAGAAGUUAGUAUCCUGGCAGUGUUCGUUGACUAGAUUGGCUAUCCUGUUACUUGAACAAUGCUAUACAUCGCUUUUUGUUGUCUUAGUAGCGUCCAACAAUCUAUGUUGUCUUAAGCCUGGCCUUGGACGGAUAAUUUGAAAUUGUGAUAUUGUGAAUAUAAAUCACAUAGUAAUUAUUUUGCAAGAUUUUACAACAAUUUAACGUAUCACAUUAUUGUCCAUAUAAUGAGAAAAUUAAUUUUUUUAUUAGAUAGAUAGAUAAUAAUUUUAUUAGAUUCUGGAGCCUAGGCUCCCUCAGAACCGUCAUCAAAUAUACAUUAUAAUUAGCGUAUGAAGUACAGAGUUUUUGAUACAUAAAAAUAAAAAAUAAAUAUAGUAAUUGACGGAAUAAUAUGUCAAUUGUGCUUAUAAAUAAUACUUGUGUCAUAAAAAGCUCAACAACCUUCAAUAACAGUAAUAAGCGUUCAAUAUAGAAGAUCAAUAAUUCUGGAAAUAAUAAUCAUCGCACAGACUACGGAAUAAUUCAAAACUUUCAGCUUUUAUAAUUUCGGCUGGCAGCGCAUUCCAAAUACGUAUACCACGAACAAGAAAAGAGUUAUCGUACAUACAACAAUUAGAUCUAGGUAGACGUAGAUAAUCUUCCCUUCCAUCACCUCUACGCAACGCAACCGGUGAAAAUUCUAAGUGCCAUAUUACCAUAUUUUGUUUCGUCAAAAGUGGGUAAUUAUAAAGCUACGAUCCAGCAAAUAAAAUUUAUAAUAAUUUACGAAAAAUAUGCAGUUAGUAAUUUAUAACUUAAUUAUUAUAAUUAAUCUCAAUUAAGGGGCAUAGCCACUGUGAGGAUCGAAAAAAUAAGUGAUUUUCGGGAAUUUUUUUGACUGGGAUAAUAAGAGAAUUUGGGCAUUGGGUUUUUUUUUGUUUUAUAAAGUAUACAUCAAAGAUCAUUCUCCUAAAUUUUGAUCAAAAAAUAUCAUGUUGUUACAAAGUUAUAAGCAUUUUUGUAGAGCACCAAAAAAAUUUCCCCCACUACGGUGGGAUCUCUAACUCAAAAACGGAUUAUCUAAAA